rnacentral:rRNA from 1 species
CCUACGGGGUGCUGCAGUGGGGAAUUUUGGACAAUGGGCGCAAGCCUGAUCCAGCCAUUCCGCGUGAGUGAAGAAGGCCUUCGGGUUGUAAAGCUCUUUCGCAAGGGAAGAAAACUUAUCCUCUAACAUAGGAUGAGGUUGACGGUACCUUGAUAAGAAGCACCGGCUAACUACGUGCCAGCAGCCGCGGUAAUACGUACGGUGCGACCGUUAAUCGGAAUUACUCAGCCUGUAGUGUAAGUCAGAUGUUAAAUCCCCGAGAUCAACUUGGGAACUGCGUUUGAAACUACAAGACUAGAAUAGGUCAGAGGGGGGUAGAAUUCCACGUGUAGCAGUGAAAUGCGUAGAGAUGUGGAGGAAUAUCAAUGGCGAAGGCAGCCCCCUGGGAUCAUAUUGACGCUCAUGCACGAAAGCGUGGGGAGCAAACAGGAUUAGAUACCCUAGUAGUC